rnacentral:misc_RNA from 1 species
GAGAAAUUCGCCCUCACGGGUGACUCUCCAACCCUAUGUUAUUGUACCUUCGUUGCUUUGGCGAGCCGCCUCGUGCCACCGACUCUCGCCGGUGAGUGCUCGCCAGAGGACCUAAAACUCUUGUUUAAUCAUAUUGUCUGAGUACUAUAUAAUAGUUAAAACUUUCAACAACGGAUCUCUUGGUUCU